rnacentral:rRNA from 1 species
UACGUAGGUGGCGAGCGUUAUCCGGAAUUAUUGGGCGUAAAGAGCGCGCAGGUGGUUGAUUAAGUCUGAUGUGAAAGCCCACGGCUUAACCGUGGAGGGUCAUUGGAAACUGGUCGACUUGAGUGCAAAAGAGGGAAGUGGAAUCCCAUGUGUAGCGGUGAAAUGCGUAGAGAUAUGGAGGAACACCAGUGGCGAAGGCGGCUUCCUGGUCUGUAACUGACACUGAGGCGCGAAAGCGUGGGGAGCAAACAGGAUUAGAUACCCG